UACAGAGGUGCCAAGCGUUGUUCGGAUUUAUUGGGCGUAAAGGGUGCGUAGGCGGUUGUGUAAGUCGGAUGUGAAAUCCCGGAGCCUAACUCCGGAACGGCAUUCGAAACUACACAGCUCGAGAUCUGGAGAGGUGAGUGGAAUUCUCGGUGUAGCAGUGAAAUGCGUAGAUAUCGAGAGGAACACCAGAGGCGAAAGCGACUCACUGGACAGAAUCUGACGCUGAGGCACGAAAGCCAGGGGAGCAAACGGG
rnacentral:rRNA from 1 species